rnacentral:tRNA from 1 species
GGGCUCGUGGUCCAGUGGUAAGACGUUACCCUCACACGGUAAAGACAGGAGUUCAAUUCUCCUCGGGCCCACCA